rnacentral:rRNA from 1 species
UNGGAGAGGAAAGUGGAAUUCCUAGUGUAGCGGUGAAAUGCGUAGAUAUUAGGAAGAACACCAGUGGCGAAGGCGACUUUCUGGACGAAAACUGACGCUGAGGCGCGAAAGCCAGGGGAGCGAACGGGAUUAGAUACCCCGGUAGUCCUGGCCGUAGACGAUGGGUACUAGGUGUAGGAGGUAUCGACCCCUUCUGUGCCGGAGUUAACGCAAUAAGUACCCCGCCUGGGGAGUACGACCGCAAGGUUGAAACUCAAAGGAAUUGACGGGGGCCCGCACAAGCGGUGGAGUAUGUGGUUUAAUUCGACGCAACGCGAAGAACCUUACCAGGUCUUGACAUUGAUGGACAGAACUAGAGAUAGUUCCUCUUCUUCGGAAGCCAGAAAACAGGUGGUGCACGGUUGUCGUCAGCUCGUGUCGUGAGAUGUUGGGUUAAGUCCCGCAACGAGCGCAACCCCUAUCUUAUGUUGCCAGCACUUUGGGUGGGGACUCAUGAGAGACUGCCGCAGACAAUGCGGAGGAAGGCGGGGAUGACGUCAAAUCAUCAUGCCCCUUAUGACCUGGGCUACACACGUACUACAAUGGGAGUUAAUAGACGGAAGCGAGAUCGCGAGAUGGAGCAAACCCGAGAAACACUCUCUCAGUUCGGAUCGUAGGCUGCAACUCGCCUACGUGAAGUCGGAAUCGCUAGUAAUCGCAGGUCAGCAUACUGCGGUGAAUACGUUCCCGGGCCUUGUACACACCGCCCGUCACACCACGAAAGUCGGAAGUGCCCAAAGCCGGUGGGGUAACCUUCGGGAGCCAGCCGU